rnacentral:rRNA from 1 species
AGUGAACGCUGGCGGUAGGCCUAACACAUGCAAGUCGAACGGCAGCACAUUAAGAGCUUGCUCUUACGGGUGGCGAGUGGCGGACUGGUGAGGAAUACAUCGGAAUCUACUUUUUCGUGGGGGAUAACGUAUGGAAACUUACGCUAAUACCGCAUACGACCUACGGGUGAAAGCAGGGGAUCUUCGUACCUUGCGCGAUUGAAUGAGCCGAUGUCGGAUUAGCUAGUUGGCGGGGUAAAGGCCCACCAAGGCGACGAUCCGUAGCUGGUCUGAGAGGAUGAUCAGCCACACUGGAACUGAGACACGGUCCAGACUCCUACGGGAGGCAGCAGUGGGGAAUAUUGGACAAUGGGCGCAAGCCUGAUCCAGCUAUACCGCGUGGGUGAAGAAGGCCUUCGGGUUGUAAAGCCCUUUUGUUGGGAAAGAAAAGCAGCAGGUUAAUACCCCGCUGUUCUGACGGUACCCAAAGAAUAAGCACCGGCUAACUUCGUG